rnacentral:siRNA from 1 species
UCAGUUUGAUGUCACCGUUUC